UUCAUGUUUUGAGUUGAAACAGUCAUGAUGGAUGGUUUCAAACUUGUGUUUUGUGUGUUGUUGUGUCACAAUGUUUUACUCAAAGGGCAAACUUCUCCUGUGGGACAUAAAGCCUACAAUGCUGAUGUUAAGCAAGUACCUUUGGAGAGCAAAGGUAAUCCACUGCCUAUUCCUUAUCAAGUGAACAACAAC